rfam:Pan troglodytes isolate Yerkes chimp pedigree #C0471 (Clint) chromosome 17, whole genome shotgun sequence.
AUUACUUCUUGACCUUUCAGCUAAAAUCAAGUGUAGUAUCUGUUCUUAUCAGUUUGACGUGUCCCUUAUCUGAGGAUGUAAUAAAAAUAAAAAUAAAUAAAUGGAAUCAUGCAGUGUGUGAUUUUUGUGACUGACUUCUU